AGUGAACGCUGGCGGUAGGCCUAGCACAUGCAAGUCGAACGGCAGCACAGUAAGAGCUUGCUCUUACGGGUGGCGAGUGGCGGACGGGUGAGGAAUACAUCGGAAUCUACUUUUUCGUGGGGGAUAACGUAGUGAAACUUACGCUAAUACCGCAUACGACCUACGGGUGAAAGCAUGGGAUCUUCGGACCUUGCGCGAUUGAAUGAGCCGAUGUCGGAUUAGCUAGUUGGCGGGGUAAAGGCCCACCAAGGCGACGAUCCGUAGCUGGUCUGAGAGGAUGAUCAGCCACACUGGAACUGAGACACGGUCCAGACUCCUACGGGAGGCAGCAGUGGGGAAUAGUGGACAAUGGGCGCAAGCCUGAUCCAGCCAUACCGCGUGGGUGAAGAAGGCCUUCGGGUUGUAAAGCCCUUUUGUUGGGAAAGAAAAGCAGCAGGUUAAUACCCCGCUGUUCUGACGGUACCCAAAGAAUAAGCACCGGCUAACUUCGUG
rnacentral:rRNA from 1 species